rnacentral:rRNA from 1 species
UGGAGUCUGCAACCCGACUCCAUGAAGCUGGAUUCGCUAGUAAUCGCGCAUCAGCCACAGCGCGGUGAAUACGUUCCCGGGCCUUGUACACACCGCCCGUCAAGCCAUGGAAGCCGGGAGUGCCUGAAGUGCGUGAGCGCAAGCAGCGCCCUAAGGUAAAACCGGUGACUGGGGCUAAGUCGUAACAAGGUAAC